GUUCUUGUCAUUUUAUGCCGACCUAUGAUAUCUUUAAUUCGUCAAUUGCGUCCCUCUGCGACGCCGUUGGUCGUGUUGUUUUAUGUAAUCAUUAGUUUCUUUAAUUAUAUCAAAGGAAUGAUUCAUCGUUCAUGCAAUAAUCUGAAUAUUUAAAAAGUCAAGUGCACAACAACUGGCGAUCAAAAUAUGUCAAUAGACCGGAUGGUCCGGAUUCAUAAUCUAACUCUGUUCUUUUCACGUUACAAUCUUCUAAACUUCCAGAGAAAUUUGCAUUUUAGGAUUGGAAAACGAUUGAAUAAGAUGGAUUUGCUGAUAAUUCAUUUGUAAUCAUGCAACCCGAACUCCUAUUUU